rnacentral:rRNA from 1 species
GAUGAACGCUAGCGGCAGGCCUAAUACAUGCAAGCCGAACGGCAAGAACUUUAGCAAUAGAGUUCCUAGAGUGGCGUAAGGGUGCGUAACACGUAUGCAAUCUGCCCUCAACAGGAGGAUAGCUCCCCGAAAGGGGAAUUAAGACUCCAUAAGAUCAUUUUAUGGCAUCAUGAGAUGAUUAAACUACCAGGGGUUGAGGAUGAGCAUGCGCAUGAUUAGUUAGUUGGCGGGUAACGGCCCACCAAGACGAUGAUCAUUAGGGGAACUGAGAGGUUGACUCCCCCACACUGGCACUGAGAUACGGGCCAGACUCC